GACAGAGGUGCCGAGCGUAGGCGGAAUCACUGGGCUUAAAGCGUGUGUAGGCGGAUCUGUAAGUACCUUGUGAAAUCCCACGGCUCAACCGUGGAACUGCUUGGUAUACUGCGGGUCUUGAGCCACCUAGGGGCAAGUGGAACAAACGGUGGAGCGGUGAAAUGCGUAGAUAUCGUUUGGAACGCCAAUGGUGAAAACAACUUGCUGGGGGUGUGCUGACGCUGAGACACGAAAGCCAGGGGAGCAAACGGG
rnacentral:rRNA from 1 species